rnacentral:rRNA from 1 species
GACGAACGCUGGCGGCGUGCCUAAUACAUGCAAGUCGAGCGAGCGGAACCAACAGAUUUACUUCGGUAAUGACGUUGGGAAAGCGAGCGGCGGAUGGGUGAGUAACACGUGGGGAACCUGCCCCUAAGGUCUGGGAUACCAUUUGGAAACAGGUGCUAAUACCGGAUAAUAAAGCAGAUCGCAUGAUCAGCUUUUGAAAGGCGGCGUAAGCUGUCGCUAAGGGAUGGCCCCGCGGUGCAUUAGCUAGUUGGUAAGGUAACGGCUUACCAAGGCGACGAUGCAUAGCCGAGUUGAGAGACUGAUCGGCCACAUUGGGACUGAGACACGGCCCAAACUCCUACGGGAGGCAGCAGUGGGGAAUCUUCCGCAAUGGGCGAAAGCCUGACGGAGCAACGCCGCGUGAGUGAAGAAGGUCUUCGGAUCGUAAAGCUCUGUUGUCGGGGACGAAUGUUGAGAUCUAGAAUAUAGAUUUCAAAUGACGGUACCUGACGA